GCGAGUUGUCAACUUUGAUUUUUUUUUCUUUGGCUCGCCGCGCUCGCCGCAGUUGGUUAACUUGGCCAACUUUGAUUAAAAAUGUUGAAUGUUGUCAAAUUUGUUUUUAAGUGCGUGCAAGAACAUUGGAUGGAGUUGAAAUGUGGGAGUAGAAUGGACAUCAUUCACCCGAAGGAUCUGCUGGAGAACUAAGCCGGACAAAGAACUAAAAGGUCCGGUCCCUUGUCGAAGGAACGCUUGAUUCUCGGGAUUGUCGACAGUGGAACCGGUAAAAGGUGGCGGCAGCUCGGUAGAAGUCAGGUUAGCAAAAUGUUCGUGCGAGGCGAGCCCAUGUGUAGCAGAUCUAUUUGGGCCGUGUGGAGCGGAGGUUGGUCACAAGGCUGGGUAGUCGAUUCUGCUAGCUGCUUGGAAUACACGGGACUGCCAAUUCGGAGAUCUUGUUGCGAAGACAA